GGGUGCGAUCUCGCCCCCACACCCACAGCUCUGGAUCAAAAGCCUGGAUCUGGAUGACAGACGGCCCCCUGAGCAGACAACCUCCAGAAAACUUAGAUUGUGUCCUGCUCAAACUCCUCUUCUGGAUUCUGGCUGAACACAAGCCCGUUAUCACUUCUCUAAGCUGGGGAAAAGCUGGAAGUGAAGAAAAGCUCUGAGAAGAUGCUGUUGUCCACCUCCGCUGCUAAGCAGUAUGGAGUUUGAUCCUUCCAAUCAGGAAGGUCAGAAGCCUCUGAUGUCAUCGGUCAUUCCAGCCUGGCAACCAGUUUGAAGGAAAACACGCGUAACUGCCAGACAGGUGUCCACUUUGGAGAUCGGGGUAAAGGAUAUCUCCUGCCGCCAACCCAGCCUUGGACCGUCCUCCAGAACUGUCCUCCAGAGUCUGGACCACUCUCCAGCAGAUGCCAGGCUCCCUCCACGCUAAACUUGAACCAUGUCAGACUCUCUCCACCCCUCUACUCCUAUUUCAAGGCGCAGUCUGGCGGGAGAGGGAGGAAGCCAACAAGGAAAUUUAGCAGGAAGACUUGGACGAGGUCUCAGAGAGCAUGCAGACAUCCUUGGGGUUCCUGCACAGUAUCCUUGGGCCUGGGGCCCUCCCACAGGUCCCCACUGGUGGAAGAGGCACUGCUGUGUGAAGGACACAUGACUCAUCCCUGGAGAAGUUCAACUCCUAGGAAGCCAGUUUGCACUUAAAUUUCAUUCAUGGUGCUUUCAGCCAUCAUAGCUGGUUGGGUCCUUCCAUAACAAAAUGGAAGGCCACUCUUCCUCCUGAUGAAGCUAGCUUCCCAAUACUAGAAGGCAGAUACUCUGUCCCUAUUCAAGUUUCUCUUCUGUGCCAUGAAAGCCUGGAUUACUUUGAGGAAGGGGAUUCUUCAAGACAGUUUGCGUAGUCCUUUCUCCCCCACCACCUUGUCUGGAUGUUCCACAGUUAGGCAGGGCCCAUCCUAAGAUACACUGUUGGUACAUUGCCCAAAAAUGGGCUAAACAGCUCAGACGGGGAAGAGCAAACUGUUACUUCUUCUCUGUCUCUUCCCCCCGUGGAGGCAGUUUAAUAUAACAGUGGCUGUAGCUACUGCAGAAAUACUGGCAGGAUGAAACAGAAGUGCUUUGCAAAUGCAGUCCUUCUGGCGUGAGGACCACAUGGGGAAAGUAACUGAGAUACAGAUACCAGAUCCAGCCUCAUUGGUUCUAGUUCAACAGAACUGGGGUAGGGCCCACUUUAACUUAUUGUUUUUUAUUUUACUUUUUAAAGUUUAUUUAUUUAUUUUGAGAGAGAAGGAGCAAGCUGGUGAGGGGCAGAGAGGGAGGAAGAAACAGGAUCCCAAGCAGGCUCCACACCAUCAGUACGGAACCCAGUACAGGGCUCAAACUCACGAACCUUGAGAUCAUGACCUGAGCUGAAAUCAAGAGUCAGUCACUUAACUGACUCAGCCAUCCAGGCGCCCCUAACUUAUUUACUGAUGCACAUUCAGAUUUGGAAAUCUCUCUGUGGGACAUGCCACCCAGGUCAGGGUAAUAGGGAUCCUUUUUUUUUUUUUUUUAAGUUUAUUUAUUUUGAGAGAGAGAGUGAGUGGGGGAGGGGCAGACAAAGAGAGAAUCUCAAGCAGACUCCACGCUCAGCACAGAGCCCAACAUGGGGCUUGAUCCCGUGACAGUGAGAUCACAAUAUCCAGAGUCAGAUGUUUGACUGAGCCACCCAGGCGCCCCAGGGCAAUGGGGGUCCUAAAGAAAGCAAAGCCACACUUGCAUGAAAUAAGCCAUGAUCUAUACCUGACAUGCCAAGACCACGGCCAGGCCUUGAGUCCAAGGCUGAGGGGUCCUUUGGAACCAGCCUUCAAUCCUCUGGCCAGUUUAUUGGUGACAACCUGUCCAGCAGCCUGGGUGCCGAUUUGGAUACAUAGACCCAUGAGCAGAGUUCAUCCUGAGUGACUGUGCAUGUAUUGGUGAAAAACUGCUCUCUCCACUAUGAAGUCCUGUCUCGCCAGGGGCUGCUCACCCUGGCCUGUCAUUCUCUACUGAGUGAUGGUCUCUGUACUUCCCUCCUGUGACCUGUAAGACCUAGAGAAACCCCUAGGAAGACGACACAGAGUGUCUGGGAUGGGGAGAUGGGAUGAGAUUCUUGAUACUGACCUCUAAGAUCUGGUGUCAGAAGCUAAUCAUUAAAGUCUUUAACUUUUUUUUUUUUAACAAUUACAUGUCAAGUUUUAAACACUGUGUUAAAUUUAUUUACAGAUUUUUAAUGUUUAUUUCUUUUUGAGAGAGAGACAGAGUGCAAGUGGGAGAGGGUCAGAGAGAGAGAGGGAGACACAGAUCUGAAGCUGAACUGUCAGCACAGAGCCUGAUGCAGGGCUCGAACCCAUGAACCGGGAGAUCAUAACCUGAGCCAAAGUCAGACACUCAACUGACUGAGCCACCCAGGCGCCCCUUGGUCUUUAACUUUUAUGCUCCCCUCCACCAUGUCUGACACGCUCUCAGUGGGUCCUAAAAUCAUGUUAGUUGUAGUCUGAUAUCAUUGCCUCUCUUAAGUGCUAUAAAAUGUUAUCUACACACCAAUGUGCCCAUUUAUGGUUUCAAAUCUUGUUUUGAGAUAAAGAAUUAUCCUUUAUAAGGCAUUUUCAGGAGGAUUGUCUCAUUUUCUUUGUUGAGUUGAGAAGACAGGGUUCUGGGAUUUGUCCUUUUUAAAAAUUAAUUUAUUUGAGAGAGAAAGAGACAGACAGACAUUGGGGGAGGGGCAGAGAGAGAGGAGAAAGAGAAUACCCAGCAGGCUUCAUGCUGUCAGCACAGAGCCCAACACAGGGCUCGAACUCACAAACCAUGAGAUCAUGACCUGAGCUGAAAUCAAGAGUCAGGUGCUUAACCAGCUGAGCCACCCAGGCGCCCCUGAGUUUUGUCUUUGAGAAACAAAGGAUGUGAAACUCAAAAGACUGAAGCAGGAUCCCAGGUUUCACCUCGACUGCUCUGAUUCAAGUCCUAUAUCCCAUUCAUCCCAUUCUCUUCUCCAUCUGCCCAGACAAUCUGGAGGACAUAAGCCAGUUAGUAUGACGUGCCUAUCAAAAGAUGGAGGUGGGGAUGGGGAAUGGGAAAGUAGUUCUAUUAUAAACUAGUAUGUGCCCUUGGGCAAAUCCUUCCUCCUUCCAAGCCCCCAUUUCUUCAUCUAUAAAAUAAAAGGUGUAGAUAAGAUGAUCUUUAAGGGCCUUUCCCACAGCAUAAGCAAAGCAGUGAGAAAGCGCUUGUAGUGAAUUUGAUGUGACCGGGUACACGAAUGCUGUGGGUGAAUUGUGUGCCCCUGUCCCCACCACCCUGUUCAUGUGUUGAGGUCCUAACCCCCUAGUACUUCAGAAUGUGAUCUUAUUUGGUGGUUAGGUCUUUACGGAGGAAAUCAAGUCUAAGAAAAUGAGGCCAUUAGGAUGGGCACUAAUUCAGUAUGGGUGGCGUCCUUAUAAAAAGGGGAAAUUUGGACGCAGAGACACUGAAGUAGAGGUAAGACAAUGUGAUGACACAUGGAGAGAAGAUGGUCACCUACAAGCCAAGGAAAGAAGAUGGAGCACACCCGCCCCCACCGCCCUCAGAGGGAACCAGCCCUGUCCACGCCUGGAUCUCAGACUCCCAGCCUCCAGAACAGGAGACAAUGCACUUCUGUGGUUAAAGCCACCUGGUUGGUCUUACUUCAUUACAGCUUCCCUGUAAACUGAUCCAACCCGUAUUUUGAAUAAGAGGGAAUUCAGAUUUGACAGUUACUGUCCUGACACUUCGGGCGACCAUUCCAUUAAAGCAAGGCAUGUCCCGAGGCCUCAGAGAAGAACAAGUUCUUUCAAACAAAUGAGAAACUUGAACUUUUUUCUUAGCCUCUCACAUUUCCUGGUCACGGUGAAUAUGUUAGUUUCGGGAAAAAGUGGGUGAAAGACUUCAAGAAUGGUUUGCAAAUCUUGAAGAUGGGUGCUGGUAUCUUAAUAAAAUUGACACAUUACAGAGAAAAGAAAACAAACAGGAGCAAACACAGGCCACAACUUAGAAAAUUAAGGGUGGGAAAGGC